AAGUCGUAACAAGGUAACCGUAGGUGAACCUGCGGUUGGAUCAUUAACAAAUAAUUUAGGCCCCUGGCUGCCUCAAAAGGGCGAAGGGGGAAAACCUAAACAUUUGUGUGCACCAUAUCUGUCCUUGGCAGUUCGAGUGUCCUGGGUCGCGUAACUGCCUCAGGUACCUACCGAGGCUUUCCUCUCGGGGUUUGCCAAAGUUGGGCUGCCGCUUCCAGAACAAACCUUUUUGUAAAUUAUUUUUGCCUGAAUUUGUUUGAUCUUUAUGAUUGAAUUUAAAUACAACUUUUGACAACGGAUCUCUUGGCUCUC
rnacentral:misc_RNA from 1 species